rnacentral:rRNA from 1 species
UACGAAGGGGGCUAGCGUUGUUCGGAAUUACUGGGCGUAAAGCGCACGUAGGCGGAUUUGUUAGUCAGGGGUGAAAUCCCGGGGCUCAACCUCGGAACUGCCUUUGAUACUGCAAGUCUCGAGUCCGGAAGAGGUGAGUGGAAUUCCUAGUGUAGAGGUGAAAUUCGUAGAUAUUAGGAAGAACACCAGUGGCGAAGGCGGCUCACUGGUCCGGUACUGACGCUGAGGUGCGAAGGCGUGGGGAGCAAACAGG